rnacentral:rRNA from 1 species
GACGAACGCUGGCGGCGUGCUUAACACAUGCAAGUCGAACGGUGAAGCUCCAGCUUGCUGGAGUGGAUCAGUGGCGAACGGGUGAGUAACACGUGAGCAGCCUGCCCCUGACUCUGGAAUAAGCGCUGGAAACGGCGUCUAAUACUGGAUACGAGAAGGGUCCGCGUGGGCACUUUCUGGAAAGUUUUUCGGUUGGGGAUGGGCUCGCGGCCUAUCAGCUUGUUGGUGAGGUAAUGGCUCACCAAGGCGACGACGGGUAGCCGGCCUGAGAGGGCGACCGGCCACACUGGGACUGAGACACGGCCCAGACUCCUACGGGAGGCAGCAGUGGGGAAUAUUGCACAAUGGGCGAAAGCCUGAUGCAGCGACGCCGCGUGAGGGAUGACGGCCUUCGGGUUGUAAACCUCUUUCAGCAGGGAAGAAGCGAAAGUGACGGUACCUGCAGAAGAAGCACCGGCUAACUACGUG